rnacentral:misc_RNA from 1 species
UACAGAGGCCCCAAGCGUUACCCGGAAUCACUGGGCGUAAAGGGUGUGUAGGCGGUUAUGUUAGUCUCUUGUUAAAGCCCGGGGCUUAACUCCGGAAUCGCAAGAGAAACGGCAUAACUAGAGGACGCGAGAGGUCUAUGGAACUCAUGGUGUAGGGGUGAAAUCCGUUGAUAUCAUGGGGAACACCAAAAGCGAAAGCAAUAGGCUGGCGCGCUCCUGACGCUGAGACACGAAAGCGUGGGUAGCGAAUGGG